rnacentral:tRNA from 1 species
GCUGGGAUGGCAGAGCGGUCAAUUGCAUUAGACUGUAAAUCUAACGCCAUUAUGGCUACGGAGGUUCGAAUCCUU